UAGGGAAUCUUCGGCAAUGGGGGCAACCCUGACCGAGCAACGCCGCGUGAGUGAAGAAGGUUUUCGGAUCGUAAAGCUCUGUUGUAAGAGAAGAACGUGUGUGAGAGUGGAAAGUUCACACAGUGACGGUAACUUACCAGACAGGGACGGCUAACUACGUGCCAGCAGCCGCGGUAAUACGUAGGUCCCGAGCGUUGUCCGGAUUUAUUGGGCGUAAAGCGAGCGCAGGCGGUUUAAUAAGUCUGAAGUUAAAGGCAGUGGCUUAACCAUUGUUCGCUUUGGAAACUGGUAAACUUGAGUGCAGAAGGGGAGAGUGGAAUUCCAUGUGGAGCGGUGAAAUGCGUAGAUAUAUGGAGGAACACCGGUGGCGAAAGCGGCUCUCUGGUCUGUAACUGACGCUGAGGCUAGAAAGCGUGGGGAGCAAACAGG
rnacentral:rRNA from 1 species